rnacentral:rRNA from 1 species
UCGAGAAUCUUCGGCAAUGGGCGCAAGCCUGACCGAGCGACGCCGCGUGUGGGAUGAAGGCCCUUGGGUUGUAAACCACUGUCAGAGGGGAUGAAGUGCAUGAGGGCAAUCUCUCAUGUUUGACAUAGCCUCAGAGGAAGCACGGGCUAAGUUCGUGCCAGCAGCCGCGGUAAUACGAACUGUGCGAACGUUAUUCGGAAUCACUGGGCUUACAGGGUGCGUAGGCGGCUUGUUAAGUAGGGUGUGAAAGCCCCCGGCUCAACCGGGGAAUUGCGCCCUAAACUGGCGAGCUGGAGUGAGAUAGGGGUGUGUGGAACUUCCGGUGGAGCGGUGAAAUGUGUUGAUAUCGGAAGGAACGCCGGUGGCGAAAGCGACACACUGGAUCUUGUCUGACGCUGAGGCACGAAAGCCAGGGGAGCGAACGGGAUUAGAUACCCCCGUAGUCC